rnacentral:sRNA from 1 species
GCCAGGAGUGGUGGUGCACACCUGUAAUCCCAGCAGCUUUGGAGGCUGAGGCAGGAGGAUCAUGAGUUCAAAGCCAGCCACAGCAAUUUAGUCAGGCCCUGGGUAAUUUUGUGAGACCCUAUCUCCA